CCUACGGGAGGCAGCAGUGGGGAAUAUUGCACAAUGGGGGAAACCCUGAUGCAGCGACGCCGCGUGAGUGAAGAAGUAUUUCGGUAUGUAAAGCUCUAUCAGCAGGGAAGAAAAUGACGGUACCUGAGUAAGAAGCCCCGGCUAACUACGUGCCAGCAGCCGCGGUAAUACGUAGGGGGCAAGCGUUAUCCGGAUUUACUGGGUGUAAAGGGAGCGUAGACGGUGAUGCAAGUCAGAAGUGAAAGCCCGGGGCUCAACGCCGGGACUGCUUUUGAAACUGUGUAACUGGAGUGCAGGAGAGGUAAGCGGAAUGCCUGGUGUAGCGGUGAAAUGCGUAGAUAUCAGGAGGAACACCAGUGGCGAAGGCGGCUUACUGGACUGUAACUGACGUUGAGGCUCGAAAGCGUGGGGAGCAAACAGGAUUAGAUACCCCAGUAGUC
rnacentral:rRNA from 1 species